rnacentral:rRNA from 1 species
AUUGAACGCUGGCGGCAUGCUUUACACAUGCAAGUCGAACGGCGGCGCGGGCUUCGGCCUGGCGGCGAGUGGCGAACGGGUGAGUAAUGCAUCGGAACGUGCCCAGUAGUGGGGGAUAGCCCGGCGAAAGCCGGAUUAAUACCGCAUACGACCUGAGGGUGAAAGCGGGGGACCGAAAGGCCUCGCGCUAUUGGAGCGGCCGAUGUCGGAUUAGCUAGUUGGUGGGGUAAAGGCUUACCAAGGCGACGAUCCGUAGCUGGUCUGAGAGGACGACCAGCCAACAUGGGAAUGAGGCACGGCCCAGACUCCUACGGGAGGGCGCCGUGGGGAAUUUUGGACAAUGGGGGCAACCCUGAUCCAGCCAUGCCGCGUGCGGGAAGAAGGCCUUCGGGUUGUAAAACCCUUUUGGUCGGGAAGAAAUCCUUUGGGCUAAUACCCCGGGGGGAUGACGGUACCGGAAGAAUAAGCACCGGCUAACUACGUG